GUGGGGAAUUUUGGACAAUGGGCGAAAGCCUGAUCCAGCCAUGCCGCGUGCAGGAUGAAGGCCUUCGGGUUGUAAACUGCUUUUGUACGGAACGAAAAGACUUCUUCUAAUACAGGAGGUCCAUGACGGUACCGUAAGAAUAAGCACCGGCUAACUACGUGCCAGCAGCCGCGGUAAUACGUAGGGUGCAAGCGUUAAUCGGAAUUACUGGGCGUAAAGCGUGCGCAGGCGGUUAUAUAAGACAGAUGUGAAAUCCCCGGGCUCAACCUGGGAACUGCAUUUGUGACUGUAUAGCUAGAGUACGGUAGAGGGGGAUGGAAUUCCGCGUGUAGCAGUGAAAUGCGUAGAUAUGCGGAGGAACACCGAUGGCGAAGGCAAUCCCCUGGACCUGUACUGACGCUCAUGCACGAAAGCGUGGGGAGCAAACAGGAUUAGAUACCCCUGUAGUCC
rnacentral:rRNA from 1 species